UAGAGCUGUUUCUGCACUGAGGCAGGGACUGCAGGCCAGUGACGGAGUGAUCUUGUGUGACUUCAUGCUCUCAGAGUCUUGCUGGAAACCCCUCUGGCUCUCAGACCCUCUUCUGUGAACCAGAAGUCUCUAUCCUGCCUUCUGCUGAGGGUCACAGGAUAAGUAUCCAUAGGUGUAACUCACACACCAGCACUUUGCAAGGUGUCCCCCCACCCACACAGAAGAGUUCCUCUGUGCCCGCAGGCAGGAGCAGCCCCCCACAUACACACACAGUACAUUCAUUCAUUCACUCACAUAGUACUUUCAUUCAUCCACCCAUUCAAAUAGUACAUUCAUUCAUUCACUCACUCACACAGUACAUUCGUUCAAUCAUCCAUUCACACAGUACAUUCAUUCAUUCAUUCACACAGUUCAUUCAUUCAUUCACACAGUUCAUUCAUUCACACUGUACAUUCAUUCACACACUUCAUUCAUUCAUUAACCACAUGGUGAGUAUUCCUUGCAUCUCAGAGAUGGGGACAAAGGAGUGACCCCACUAGGCCCAAGGUUGCAGGGGGCUGGGGUGGAGUGGAUACAUUUUGUAGAUUGGAUUCUCUUAUUCAGUAAAGUGUUUAGUGAAUUGGUUGACAGCAAUGCCAG
rnacentral:lncRNA from 1 species